GAUGCCUUGCAUACGAAUUAUAUGGUGAGAGUUAUUUGAUUUGGUGUGCCAGUUCCUAUUUGCAACUAAUAUAAUUGGCUCUUUUGCUUGUUUCGGAAGGACAAAAAAUUGCAGGAAAGAAGAAAAGAAAAGCUUUUGGGUUAAAAUGUUAUGAAUCUGUUUUAUGUUCAAGAUUUUGAUGACAUACUUUGGAAAUGAUAGCUUUGAGGGUUCAAUAUUUUUUUUUGUCUGGUGGGGCUAUAUUUUUAAAAUAGCCACCAAAAAACAUUUGGAAGG
rnacentral:misc_RNA from 1 species